UUGAAACUUGUCCACUCCUUACGGGGGAGACAGUCAUGAGACGUGAGUAUAAGACCUGAGUGUAAAGACCUUAGGGUGAAGCAAUUGGAGGGCAAGCUUUGGUGCCAGCAGCCGCGGUAACUCCAACUCCAAGAGUGUCUAUGGUGGAUGCUGCAGUUAAAGGGUCCGUAGUCGUGAAUGCAAUUAAAUGUCGUUGUUCAAUAGCGAUGAGUUUGCUAAUGUUUGCGGAACGGAUAGGGAGUGUAGUAUAGACUGGCGAAGAAUGAAAUCUCAAGACCCAGUUUGGACUAACGGAGGCGAAGGCGACACUCUUAGACGUAUCUUAGGAUCAAGGACGAAGGCAGGAGUAUCGAAAGUGAUUAGACACCGCUGUAGUUCCUGCAGUAAACUAUGCCGACAGCCUGUGUGUGAGAAUACGUGGGCGGGAGAAAUCUUAGUGUUCGGGCUCUGGGGAUAGUACGCUCGCAAGGGUGAAACUUAAAGCGAAAUUGACGGAAGGACACUACCAGGAGUGGAUUGUGCUGCUUAAUUUAACUCAACGCGGGAAAACUUACCAGGGUCAAGUCAUUCGUUGAUCGAAUACGUGAGAAUGGCAGGAGUGGUGCAUGGG
rnacentral:rRNA from 1 species